CUCAUGAACUUCAUCCCCAGGAACAUGAAACAGCUGUGGUUCCUCUUCCUCGUUCUGGUGGUGGCUCCAAGAUGUGUCCUCUCCCAGGUGCAGCUGCAGGAGUCGGGCCCUGGACUGGUGAAGCCCUCGCAGACCCUCUCCCUCUCCUGUGCUGUCUCUGGAUUCUCCAUCACAACCAGUGGUUACUGCUGGGGCUGGAUCCGCCAGCCCUCAGGGAAGGGGCUCCAGUGGGUUGGGGAAAUAUGUGCUAGUGGCAACACAUACUACAGCCCUUCUCUCAAGAGCCGCACCUCCAUCACCAGAGACACGUCCAACAACCAGUUCUAUCUGCAGCUGAGCUCUGUGACCUCCGAGGACACAGCCGUGUAUUACUGUGCGAGAGACACAGUGAGGGGACGUCAGUGGUAG